rnacentral:rRNA from 1 species
AUUGAACGCUGGCGGCAGGCUUAACACAUGCAAGUCGAACGAGUGGCGGACGGGUGAGUAAUGUAUGGGAAUCUAGCUACUGGAGGGGGAUAACUACGGGAAAGAGUAGCUAAUACCGCGUACCAUAGGAUGAGCCCAAGUGGGAUUAGGUAGUUGGUGAGGUAAAGGCUCACCAAGCCGACGAUCUCUAGCUGGUCUGAGAGGAUGACCAGCCACACUGGGACGGAGAAACGGCCCAGACUCCUACGUGAGGCAGCAGUGGGGAAUAUUGCACAAUGGGGGCAACCUGACGCAGCCAUGCCGCGUGAAUGAAGAAGGCCUUCGGGUUGUAAAGUUCUUUCGGUAGCGAAGCGGUAUCUACAGAAGAAGCACCGGCUAACUCCGUGCCAGCAGCCGCGGUAAUUC